rnacentral:rRNA from 1 species
CCAAAGCCCUCAGGAAAUGGCNNCCGAAUUUUAAUUGUGCUAAGGGACCACAUUCCAUAGCCUCUUAAUUAGCUGCUAAAAUAAACGGACCGACGAAAAUCUAACUAUGUUCAUUAUACUAAUGAACUUGACUAAAAAGUUAAAAGUCUUUUUAAUAUAAAAAGACGACAAGACCCUAAAAACUUAACCUUAGSUGGCAAAUAAUAAGAAGAUCAUAAAAAGGAUUUUACUGGGGNGGUAUUNUUUAAACAAAAACAAACGAAAAACAAAACNCCAUGNGUGAAACCCACAAGCCUCCCGCUCACACAAAAAUAAAGUUACUUUAGGGAUAACAGCGUUAUAUUAUUUAAGAUUNUCCCUACAAUAAUGAUNAUCGUNCCA